rnacentral:rRNA from 1 species
AUUGAACGCUGGCGGCAUGCCUUACACAUGCAAGUCGAACGGUAACAGGUUAAGCUGACGAGUGGCGAACGGGUGAGUAAUGUAUCGGAACGUGCCCAGUCGUGGGGGAUGACUGCUCGAAAGAGCAGCUAAUACCGCAUACGACCUGAGGGUGAAAGCGGGGGAUCGCAAGACCUCGCGCGAUUGGAGCGGCCGAUAUCAGAUUAGGUAGUUGGUGGGGUAAAGGCCUACCAAGCCGACGCUCUGUAGCUGGUCUGAGAGGACGACCAGCCACACUGGGACUGAGACACGGCCCAGACUCCUACGGGAGGCAGCAGUGGGGAAUUUUGGGCAAUGGACGCAAGUCUGAUCCAGCCAUGCCGCGUGCGGGAAGAAGGCCUUCGGGUUGUAAACCGCUUUUGUCAGGGAAGAAAAGGUUCUGGUUAAUACCUGGGACUCAUGACGGUACCUGAAGAAUAAGCGCCGGCUAACUACGUGCCAGCAGCCGCAGUAA